rnacentral:rRNA from 1 species
GACGAACGCUGGCGGCGUGCUUAACACAUGCAAGUCGAACGGAAAGGCCCUGCUUUUGUGGGGUGCUCGAGUGGCGAACGGGUGAGUAACACGUGAGUAACCUGCCCUUGACUUUGGGAUAACUUCAGGAAACUGGGGCUAAUACCGGAUAGGAGCUCCUGCUGCAUGGUGGGGGUUGGAAAGUUUCGGCGGUUGGGGUUGGACUCGCGGCUUAUCAGCUUGUUGGUGGGGUAGUGGCUUACCAAGGCUUUGACGGGUAGCCGGCCUGAGAGGGUGACCGGCCACAUUGGGCCUGAGAUACGGCCCAGACUCCUACGGGAGGCAGCAGUGGGGAAUAUUGCACAAUGGGCGGAAGCCUGAUGCAGCAACGCCGCGUGCGGGAUGACGGCCUUCGGGUUGUAAACCGCUUUCGCCUGUGACGAAGCGUGAGUGACGGUAAUGGGUAAAGAAGCACCGGCUAACUACGUG